rnacentral:rRNA from 1 species
CCCUUAGAUGUUCUGGGCCGCACGCGCGCUACACUGACGAAUGCAACGAGCUUAUAACCUUGGCCGAAUGGUCUGGGUAAUCUCCAAAUUUCGUCGUGAUGGGGAUAGAUUAUUGCAAUUAUUAAUCUUCAACGAGGAAUGCCUAGUAAGCGCAAGUCAUCAGCUUGCGUUGAUUACGUCCCUGCCCUUUGUACACACCGCCCGUCGCUCCUACCGAUUGAAUGGUCCGGUGAAGCGUUCGGACCGUGGCCUUUGGACGGUUCGCCGUCUGUUGGCUGCGGGAAGUUCGUUAAACCUUAUCAUUUAGAGGAAGGAGAAGUCGUAACA